rnacentral:ncRNA from 1 species
UAUGUAGAGGCGCGGUGAUUAUAAGUACCGUAUCCGAUGAGACUGACUCAGAUGAAGAUAUGAGAAAGGAUGAACCGCCGAAGUUCCGGAUAUUCAGCAUAUUCGGUGCUGGGUCUGCAGAUAAGAUCUGCAGAACUGUCACUUACAGUGAUGGGCUAUAUUCACAAGAGGUAGCAUCAUCACAUUAGUGGAGAGCUACGGU